AGUGAACGCUGGCGGCAGGCCUAACACAUGCAAGUCGAACGGCAGCACAGGAGAGCUUGCUCUCUGGGUGGCGAGUGGCGAACGGGUGAGGAAUACAUCGGAAUCUACCUUGUCGUGGGGGAUAACGUAGGGAAACUUACGCUAAUACCGCAUACGACCUUCGGGUGAAAGCAGGGGACCUUCGGGCCUUGCGCGAUUAGAUGAGCCGAUGUCGGAUUAGCUAGUUGGCGGGGUAAAGGCCCACCAAGGCGACGAUCCGUGGCUGGUCUGAGGUGAUGAGCAGCCACACUGGAACUGAGACACGGACCAGACUCCUACGGGAGGCAGCAGUGGGGAAUAUUGGACAAUGGGCGCAAGCCUGAUCCAGCCAUGCCGCGUGGGUGAAGAAGGCCUUCGGGUUGUAAAGCCCUUUUGUUGGGAAAGAAAAGCAGUCGGCCAAUACCCGAUUGUUCUGACGGUACCCAAAGAAUAAGCACCGGCUAACUUCGUGCCAGCCGCCGCGGUAAAAC
rnacentral:rRNA from 1 species